GGGUCAGUAGGUUGGUCGUGCCACCGGUACGUACUGGUCUCACUGAUUCCUCCUUCCUGAAGAACCGUAAUGCCAUUAAUUUGGUGUUGCGGGGAAACAGGACUGUUACUUUGAAAAAAUUAGAGUGUUUAAAGCAAGCUAACGCUUGAAUACGUUAACAUGGAAUAAUGAAAUAGGACGAUCGAUCCUAUUUUGUUGGUUUCUAGGAUUGACGUA
rnacentral:rRNA from 1 species